UGUGUUUGUGUGUGUGUGUGUGUGUGUGUGUGUACAUGUGUUUGUGUGUGUGUGUGUGUGUGUGUAUGUGUGAGUUUGCAAUGAUUCAAUCCAGAAACCCGAGCCAGAAAAUUAUCACAGGAGGAGCAGAGUGGCUCGGUUCCAUUUUUUUUCAAACCAGCCCAGUGUACAGAAUCUCCAUCACCUCAGAUGACCUUCCCUCUUCCCUCUUUCCUCUCCACCUCCUUCUCCUCUUACUCCACUUCUCUGUCUCUCCUCUUUCCUCAGAAGUUCCCUUUCUUCUUCCUCUCCUCGUCCUUCUCCUAUACUGCUCUUCUUUUGCCAUGCUGAGGAGUGGUAUAUUGUGGUAUCCCUAGAAGCCCUGACUCUCUGCCAGCUGGAUCUGUCUACCUGGACAACCCACAUCCUUUCCUCUUUUAUGAGUUUGCCUUGGAUUAAUUGACCACUUUAGAUAAACAACAAUUUAAAUGUUGUGUCAGCAAAGCAACGAUAUGGAAUUAGCUGGAGUGUUUUAUUAUUUUGUGGUAACACCUCUUGCCAUAACUCUGAGAGAAGAUGUGUGUGUGUGCAUGCAAGACUCGCCAGUGAAUCUGUCUUAAUUGUAAAUGCUGUUGGAGUAAGACUAAAUAAACGGUCACUUGUCCAAGAA